GACGAACGCUGGCGGCGUGCUUAACACAUGCAAGUCGAACGGUAAGGCCUUCGGGUACACGAGUGGCGAACGGGUGAGUAACACGUGGGUGAUCUGCCCUGCACUUCGGGAUAAGCCUGGGAAACUGGGUCUAAUACCGGAUAGGACCAUGGACUUCACGGUUUGUGGUGGAAAGCUUUUGCGGUGUGGGAUGGGCCCGCGGCCUAUCAGCUUGUUGGUGGGGUAAUGGCCUACCAAGGCGACGACGGGUAGCCGGCCUGGGAGGGUGUCCGGCCACACGGGGACUGAGAUACGGCCCAGACUCCUACGGGAGGCAGCAGUGGGGAAUAUUGCACAAUGGGCGCAAGCCUGAUGCAGCGACGCCGCGUGGGGGAUGACGGCCUUCGGGUUGUAAACCUCUUUCAGUAGGGACGAAGCGCAAGUGACGGUACCUACAGAAGAAGCACCGGCCAACUACGUGCCAGCCGCCGCCGUAA
rnacentral:rRNA from 1 species